rnacentral:rRNA from 1 species
AUUGAACGCUGGCGGCAUGCCUUACACAUGCAAGUCGAACGGUAACAGGUCUUCGGAUGCUGACGAGUGGCGAACGGGUGAGUAAUACAUCGGAACGUGCCUAGUAGUGGGGGAUAACUACUCGAAAGAGUGGCUAAUACCGCAUGAGAUCUACGGAUGAAAGCAGGGGAUCGCAAGACCUUGUGCUACUAGAGCGGCCGAUGGCAGAUUAGGUAGUUGGUGGGAUAAAAGCUUACCAAGCCGACGAUCUGUAGCUGGUCUGAGAGGACGAUCAGCCACACUGGGACUGAGACACGGCCCAGACCCCUACGGGAGGCAGCAGUGGGGAAUUUUGGACAAUGGGCGCAAGCCUGAUCCAGCAAUGCCGCGUGCAGGAUGAGGGCCUUCGGGUUGUAAACUGCUUUUGUACGGAACGAAAAGCCCUGGGUUAAUACCCUGGGGUCAUGACGGUACCGUAAGAAUAAGCACCGGCUAACUACGUGCCAGCCGCCGCGGUAACAC